rnacentral:tRNA from 1 species
GUCAGGAUGGCCGAGUGGUCUAAGGCGGUAGACUUAGCAUCUAUUCCUCGUUAAAGGGGGCGUGGGUUCAAAUCCCACUCCUGACA